UACAGAGGGUGCAAGCGUUGCUCGGAAUCAUUGGGCGUAAAGGGCAGGUAGGUGGUCUCGUUUGUCUGGGGUGAAAGCCCAGGGCUUAACCCUGGAAGUGCCCCGGAAACGGCGAGACUAGAGUACUGGAGAGGGUCGUGGAAUUCCCGGUGUAGCGGUGAAAUGCGUAGAGAUCGGGAGGAACACCAGAGGCGAAGGCGGCGACCUGGACAGUAACUGACACUCAACUGCGAAAGCGUGGGAGCAAACAGG
rnacentral:rRNA from 1 species